GAUGAACGCUGGCGGCGUGCCUAAUGCAUGCAAGUCGAGCGAACGGACGAGAAGCUUGCUUUUCUGAUGUUAGCGGCGGACGGGUGAGUAACACGUGGAUAACCUACCUAUAAGACUGGGAUAACUUCGGGAAACCGGAGCUAAUACCGGAUAAUAUUUUGAACCGCAUGGUUCAAAAGUGAAAGACGGUCUUGCUGUCACUUAUAGAUGGAUCCGCGCUGCAUUAGCUAGUUGGUAAGGUAACGGCUUACCAAGGCAACGAUGCAUAGCCGACCUGAGAGGGUGAUCGGCCACACUGGAACUGAGACACGGUCCAGACUCCUACGGGAGGCAGCAGUAGGGAAUCUUCCGCAAUGGGCGAAAGCCUGACGGAGCAACGCCGCGUGAGUGAUGAAGGUCUUCGGAUCGUAAAACUCUGUUAUUAGGGAAGAACAUAUGUGUAAGUAACUGUGCACAUCUUGACGGUACCUAAUCAGAAAGCCACGGCUAACUACGU
rnacentral:rRNA from 1 species